rnacentral:rRNA from 1 species
CAGUAGCCGCGGUAAUACGUAGGGGGCAAGCGUUAUCCGGAAUUAUUGGGCGUAAAGAGUGCGUAGGUGGUCUACUAAGCGCGAGGUGAAAGGCAAUGGCUCAACCAUUGUUAGCCUUGCGAACUGGCAGACUUGAGUGCAAGAGAGGAAAGCGGAAUUCCUAGUGUAGCGGUGAAAUGCGCAGAUAUUAGGAGGAACACCGGCGGCGAAGGCGGCUUUCUGGAUUGUAACUGACACUGAGGCACGAAAGCGUGGGUAGCAAACAGGAUUAGAUACCCGUGUAGUCCCUGUCUCUUAUACA